rnacentral:rRNA from 1 species
GUAACAACCAUUUGAGUCUGGGAUUUCUGAAUGGGGAAACCCACUUACAUAAGUAAGUAUCGUUAUGUGAAUACAUAGCAUAACGAGGCGAACCGGGGGAACUGAAACAUCUAAGUACCCCGAGGAAAAGAAAUCAACCGAGAUUCCGAAAGUAGCGGCGAGCGAAAUUGGACUAGCCCUUAAGCUUUACACGCGUUAGACGAACGGUCUGGAAAGUCCGACGAUACAGGGUGAUAGUCCCGUAGUUGACGACGUGUGUUCAGUGAAAUCGAGUAGGGCGGGACACGUGAUAUCCUUGUCCUGUGACUGCGUACCUUUUGUAUAAUGGGUCAGCGACUUAUAUUCAGUGGCAAGGUUAACCAUCUAGGGGAGCCGUAGGGAAACCGAGUCUUAACUGGGCGUUCAGUCUCUGGAUAUAGACCCGAAACCAGGUGAUCUAGCCAUGGGCAGGUUGAAGGUUGAGUAACAUCAACUGGAGGACCGAACCGACUAAUGUUGAAAAAUUAGCGGAUGACUUGUGGCUAGGGGUGAAAGGCCAAUCAAACCUGGAGAUAGCUGGUUCUCCCCGAAAGCUAUUUAGGUAGCGCCUCGGACGAAUACUACUGGGGGUAGAGCACUGUUAAGGCUAGGGGGUCAUCCCGACUUACCAACCCUUUGCAAACUCCGAAUACCAGUAAGUACUAUCCGGGAGACACACGGCGGGUGCUAACGUCCGUCGUGGAGAGGGAAACAACCCAGACCGCCAGCUAAGGUCCCAAAUUACUACUAAGUGGGAAACGAUGUGGGAAGGCUCAGACAGCCAGGAUGUUGGCUUAGAAGCAGCCAUCAUUUAAAGAAAGCGUAAUAGCUCACUG